UAUAAGUCGUAUAAACGCCAAGUUAAGUCGCGUGUUUUCAACGCCGUCGUUUAACAUUGAAAGAAACGAAUAAAAAUCUUAACUAAUAGUAUUUUAUUUAGUUAAUUUGAUAAUGCACAUAUAUUCAACGCAAACAAUUUAAAUUAAAAUGACCAAAGACACAAGUUUAAUUGAGUACCAUCAAUAUGCAAGUGCUUUGGUUGAUUCAUCUGUCAGCGAUGAUGAUAGGCUUAAAUUUAUUCAAGAAAUAUCUCAGUGUUUUGAGACAAUAUGUACUUCUAACCAUUAUGCUGGCUUCCUUGAGCAUGCAAUUCCAAAGUUUUUAUCCUUUUUAAAAGAGAGUGAAGCUUAUUUCUCCACAGAUUCUGUUAAACAAGAACUUCGUAAACUGAUAUUAGAUAUUAUACAUAGAAUACCUGCUAAUGAUUCUCUAAAAACCCAUGUCUCUAGUAUACUUGAUGUUAUGUUCCACAUGCUUAAUAUUGACAACGAAGAAAAUGUUUUAGUUGCUUUACGAAUCAUUAUUGAACUUCAUAAGCAGUUUCGGCCACAAAUUAAGCCAGAGAUUAAGAUGUUUUUGCAGUUUGUUAUCAAUUUCUACAAAGAAUUUCACAAUAUUGCUAAAACACAUUUUGAUAUUGUUGCUGUCACUGCAACAGGUCAUUUACCAAUAGAAAGUAGUAUUAACUCUCAGAAUUCAAUGAAGCAAGCAACAGUUCCUGUUAAAGUACCCUCUUCGCCUGUAGGCCAACCAAGUGAUAAUUCAGCACGAACUGGCCAGAUAGUUUUGAUACCAAAAGCAACAGAAUCAUUAAAAGUUUUAGCAGAGCUUCCAAUAAUUGUUGUGCUUAUGUAUCAGUUAUACAAGCAGAGUGUUCAAGGAAAAAUUGAAGAAUUUAUACCAGUUGUCAUGAAAACCAUCACAUUGCAACCAUCCUUAUCUGCAAGGAGCUCUCCACUCUUCAACAAAGAAGUCUAUGUUGACUUUACAGCUGCACAGAUCAAAACUCUUUCAUUUUUAGCUUACAACGUGAAGAUAUUUCAAGAUUUAGUUGGCCAAUAUUCAACCAACAUGGUUGCUGGAAUGCUUGCUCUGUUUCGUUACUGUCCACAAGAAGUUGCGCAUUUAAGGAAAGAACUUCUUAUAGCUGUGCGACACAUUCUUGCCACUGAACUUCGAUCUAAAUUUGUUCCUCAUAUUGAGCAGUUCUUUGAUGAAGAUGUUCUUAUUGGAAGUGGAUGGACAGUGAAUGAAGCUUUAAGACCACUUGCUUAUAGCACUUUAGCUGAUUUUGUUCACCAUGUUCGCCAAGUUCUUACCCUCCCAAAUCUCUCAAUGGCUGUGCAACUAUUUUCAAAAAAUGUCUAUGACGAAUCUCUACCACUUAGUAUACAAAGAAUGUCAUGCAAGCUUCUUCUAAAUCUUGUGGAAUGCAUUCGGCAAAAAAGUGAAGAAUCUUCUGUCAAUGGUCGUGAAAUAUUGAUGAAAAUGUUAGAGGUGUUUGUUAGAAAGUUUCAAACAAUUGCAAAGUAUCACAUCCCUGGAAUUAUGAACAAAUGUGAGCCUGCUAUAGAGCCUCCUGUUGGAAAAGAGAUUUCUAAUUUCCCACCAUCUCCUUCAAUCAAAGAUGAUGAUAUUGAUGAAGAUUCUAAAAAAUGCACUGGAACAACUAAAGACUCUUUUUCUGUUCCUGACUAUAGAGAGAUGGUUAAAACACUUGUCUGUGGUGUUAAAACAAUUACUUGGGGUGCUGGUUCUUGCAAGUUGCCUGGAGAUAUAACUAUUUCCGUAUAUCCACAAGGAAACAAAGUUUUUUUGCCUUCAGAGACAGAGAUAUUUAUACGCUUGUUAAAAUAUGCCCUUGUUGCAUUAGAUGUUUAUCAAAUAUCCAUAAAUCCCACUGGAACAGGAUACGUCAAAAUGACCAAUUCCCCAAAUCAAAUUCGAAUGAAGGAGGAAAAAGAAAUCCUUGAACAUUUUGCUGGAGUGUUUACUAUGUUAAAUACUGCAACAUUUAAAGAAGUAUUUUCUGCUUCUAUUGAUUACUUAGUAGAACGCAUUCAUAAUAACUAUGCAUUUCAAAUUAUUCCUAAUUCUUUCCUUGCUAAUCCACACACAUCUGCCACAUUUGCGACAAUACUUGUUGAUUUUCUUUUGGGAAAGUUAAAAGACAUGGGAACAAAAUCUGAAAGAGCAAAUUUGUACCUAAAGCUGUUUAAAUUAGUGUUUGGUUCAGUGUCACUCUUUGCUCAGGAGAAUGAACAAAUGCUUAAGCCUCACUUGCACGAUAUUGUUAACAAUUCGAUGGAACUUGCUUUAUCAGCUAAAGAACCAUAUAAUUAUUUUCUCCUACUCAGAGCUUUAUUCAGAUCAAUUGGAGGAGGUAAUCAUGAUUUGUUAUACCAAGAGUUUCUACCACUGCUUCCUGCAUUAUUGCAAGGUCUUAACAACCUGCAAAGUGGAAUACAUAAGCAACAUAUGAAAGAUCUUUUUGUAGAGCUAUGCUUAACAGUACCAGUUCGUUUAAGUUCGUUGCUUCCAUAUUUGCCAAUGUUAAUGGACCCUUUAGUUUCUGCUUUAAAUGGAUCUCAAUCAUUAGUUAGUCAAGGACUUCGUACUCUUGAACUAUGUGUUGAUAAUCUUCAACCGGAUUUUCUUUAUGAUCACAUAUUACCAGUAAAAUCUGACUUAAUGCAAGCUUUGUGGAAAACAUUGCGUAACCCAAUGGAAACUAUGGCUCAUGUUGCUUUUCGUGUGCUUGGAAAGUUUGGUGGCAAUGGAAGAAAAUUGUUGGAGCAACCACAAACUUUGAAUUUUAAACCAAAUGAGAACAUCGGACCUUGUUUAAUGUUGUACUUUACAGAAACCAAUGAACCUGUAAACUUGCCAGUAUCUGUAGUAAUAGACAAAGCAUUAAGCGUUCUAAAAACACAGAUACCAUCUUUACCAUCAGUUACACAAAACAAUUACUCAGUAGAUAACAUUCCAUUUUACAAAGAGCAAGCUUGGUUUAUAAUUAAACAUUUUAUUGUUGCAGCUAUAUCUAAAGAAGAUUCCACAUUAUUGCUUAAAGUAUUGCUAAAAGAUGUGAAUUUAAAAGAUUUUCCUAAAAUAGGGAAAAUGCCAGCGCAAUCAUGCAUGGAUGAACAAUCUAAGAAAACUUUUCAACAAGCAUUAACUGGUAUGCUAUUUGCUUCAUCUAUUAAAGAGCUGCAAAAUGAUUCACUUCCAUUCAUGUGUGGUAUAUUAAGACAAUUUGCUCUAGUGAUGAUUGUGCAGCAAAGUGAAUUAUUUUACAAGCAACAAAAUGCAUGUUUAACUGGAAUGGAUGUACACACAAUUGUUGAUUCCAUAGCUGAUAUUGUUUCGCACGAGGACAAAGAUCUAAUUAAAUAUGGAAACUUAGCAAUAACUGUUCUUUUUGAAACUGCUUCCAUUGUAAUGCAAGAUAAACUAAAAGCUGCUCAAUUGCCUUUCUUUGAAUAUUUAGCAGAAAAACUGUGUGGUUGUUGUUAUGAGCGGGCUUGGUUUGCGAAAAGUGGUGGUUGUUCAGUUGUAGAGUUUUUAAUGAACACUUUCCCUAUUGAAUGGGUUGUGGAACAUCAACCAAUGUUUAUAAGUGCACUUAUGUUUGUAAUGAUGGAUCUUUUAAAUGAGGUUUCUUCUGGAGCUGUUGAAUCAGCAAAAAGAAUUCUUGAAGAGUUAUUGCGAAAAUGCAAUGGGCAGUCUAUUAAAGUUGGUUCUUUACAGGAUCAGUAUUUUCCUAUUGUUGUCCAAAACAUGGUUCGUGAAGUUGUAUCUCCAAAUCACACAGUGCGUGAGCAGGCUCGCCAUUCUUUGCAAGUACUUUCUGAAGUAACUAACAAGACAGUUUACAGCCUGAUGGAGCCUCACAAAUCUUUGUUAGAAGAUAUGAUCCCACCUAAAAAGCAUUUGCUUCGUCAUCAACCAAUUAAUACACAAAUUGCAUUAAUGGAUGGUAAUACAUUUUGUACAUCCCUAAAUCCAAGGUUAUUUACAAUGGACUUAUCAAUUGUGGAACAUAAAGUUUUUUUUACUGAGCUUUACACACUUUGUGAAGCUGAUGAUGCCACAUUGACAAAGCUUCCAUGUUACAAGUCAGUUACUUCAUUUACUCAACUCCGUGUUAGUGCACUUGCAGCAUUGACAGCAUGUCACUACAUUGUACAAGCCCGUGAAAAAAUCUUUAAUGUGUUAGUUAAAGCUAUAAAUUCAAUAUCAUCAGAGGUUAUGCAAGCUGGCAAAGAAAAUAUGCAAAAGUUUAUAGCUGGUGGUGCGCUUGAGUCUGUUAAAGAGCUUGUAUCAGUAAAUAUUCGACCUUUGUUGUUAAUGCUAGGAGAUUACAGAAGUCUUAGUAUGAAUGUUUUAAAUAAACUUACCUGUUUUAUGGAAUUGUUUCCAGAGCUUUUUAAUGAAAAGCUUUGUGAGCAACUUUUAGCACAUUUACGUAAAUGGACUGAUACAGCUGUGUCUACUGCAAAUACGCAAAAUCAUCAGCAGGUUAAGCCAGCUUUACGUAGUACUGAAGAGAUUAAAAUAUGUGGAGCUAUUAUGAAUAUGUUUUAUCUUGUUCCUGCUGCCUCAACUAAGUUAAUUGAACCGCUUAUUGCAUUGACCGUUAAAACAGAAAGAGCUUUAGUCAUAGAAGUUUCAAGUCCGUUUCGUCAACCUUUAGUUGCUUUUCUUCUUCAUUAUCCUCAUCAAGCUGUUGAACACUUUCUUUCAAAUAUUUCAGAUCCCUUGAUUAAUAGAUUGUUUAUUUGUAUUUUAAAAAGAGAUGAUGCAAAGCCAUUUAGAAUAGCUCUUGAAGCAAAUGCUGUGAGAUUGGUCAACAGCACAUUCUUAGCAACUUUACCUCAACAAAAUGAAGAUCAGCUGGCGUUAGCAAUAAAGCGUCAUAAUCUACAGUUUCAAGGUGUUUUAAUCGUUCGAAUUCUUGUAAAGUUUAAUCAAGAGUGGUUGUCACAGCAACCUUUAGUAAUUACACACCUGAAAAGAAUUUGGAACUCUCAUCCAUUGUUUGAAAAAAGUAUUGACAGUAGCAAUGAAUAUUGGAGAGAGGUUAAGUUAGUUGCAAAAUGUCUCUUAUCUUAUGUCAGUCAUAAACCAAAUGAUAUAGAUGUUUUGUUUCAACUACUUAAAGUUUAUACAAUCAUCUCUUUGUCAAGUUUUCAUUUUUUAAAGCGAUUUUUAGAGAACAUUUGCAAGUCCUACACUGUUGAAAAAAAAAGAAAUGUUUUCUUUAAAUUUGUUGAAUGUUUUCUUAACCAAUCCUUUCCACAAACUUUAAAAGCAAUGAUUCUAAUGCACCUUGUUAUACCAAUGUUUGAAGAUAGUUUUAAGAAAAAUGAAACUAUAGAGUUGAUUGGAGGACCACCAUGUCCAGAACAAGAUAGCCCAAAUAAUGUGAUCAGUGUUUUCUUAAAUAAAGUGAUUGACCCAGAAAUGGCAUUUCCGGACUCCAUACGCAUUUUAUUAUUACAGUUGUCAGCAUUGUUAGUUGAACAUGCUGGCGCUCAUAUUCAUGAUGUUUCAAAUCGUAAACAAGGUGUAAAACUUAAGCGACUUUAUAUAUUUGCUUGGCCAUGUUUACUUUCUAAACAGUGUGUAGAUCCUGCUACAAAGUAUCAUGGCUUUUUUUUGCAAGCCCAUAUUAUUAUCAAAUUUGCAAUUCAUAAAAAGUUUGUUUUACAGGUUUUUCAUGGUUUGCUGAAAGCUCAUGGGCAAGAGGCUCGCCAAGUUGUUCGCCAAGGACUUGACAUUUUGACACCUGUAAUGCCUACUCGAAUGGAAGAUGGCAAUGCUAUGCUUUCCCAUUGGACUAAAAAAAUUAUAGUAGAAGAAGGUCACACAUUAAGUCAGCUUGUUCAUGUUUUACACUUGAUUGUUCACCAUCGUGAUGUGUACUAUCCUGUUCGAAUGGAUCUUGUUCAGCACAUGAUUAGUUCAAUGCAAAGAUUAGGUUUUACCCAGAGUGCAACAAUUGAACAUCGCAAAUUAGCUGUUGAUUUAGCUGAAGUUAUUAUUGAAUGGGAAAGACACCAUCAUGAACAAGAUCAAACUGCAGAUGUUCCAACUAAUUUAGUUGCUAGUGGCAUUAAGAGAUUAAGUACUGAAAGUGUAGACCAAAUUAUACCUAAAAAACCUCGCACUAUGCUUAUUAAAGAAGAGAAACAUGAAAAGUUUGAAAAGCAUGUUGUCGAUGCUGUAAGCAACUUUUUGUUUCGUAUCGCAUGUCAAGUAAAUGAUAAUAGUGCAUCUACUGGAAGUUCUCCAGCUGAGACACUUUCAAAAAGAUGUUUUAAGCUACUUCAAAUCUGUUUAAAACCUGAUUGUUGGCCUGAAGCUGAAUUACGUGUUAUCUGGCUCGAAAAACUGUUUCUUAUGCUUGAAUCAACACCAAAUUCAAAUAUUUCUAAUAUCUCAAUUGGUUUAGAGAUGUUGACAUAUAUGUGCACUAUAUUAAAUAAACAAGAAAUCCUGGCCAUGUUUAAGCCAAUUCAGAGAGGAAUUAUUGUUUGCAUGGCAUGUCAAAAUGUAAAAGUUGUGAAAGGUGUUCAUUUGAUGUUAGAGAAACUAUUAGGAUUGUUUCCAAUUGAAUCUGGCUUAUGUAAUAAAGAAGAUGAGUUUGAAAACUUGUAUAGCAGCAUUGGAAAUAUCAUUUACGAAGGUUUAAAUAGUUAUGAAACUAGUUCAUCAACAACAACACUAAAUGUGCCAAUAAACUUACUCAAGGCUGCUUGUUCAAGUAGUCCUUGUUAUUUAGACAAAUUCCUCAUUCCAUUUAUGAAGGCAAUGCAAAAAAUGCAAAAAGAACAUAUCACAGGGCAGGCAGGUGAAAGUGCAGGCUUAACUGAUUUGUUGAUUUCUGCAUUAGAGCUUGCUAAAAUGAGAAUUUGUGCUAUGCAAGGAGACAUGAGAAAAGUUUUUCUAACAGUUCUUACUUCUCUUAUCGAGAAGUCACCAGAAGCUAGACUGUUGAAAGCAAUGAUUAAAAUUGUAGAUGAAUGGAUUAGAGUAAAAGUUACCACAAGUAACAACAUACCAUCUAUUCGUGAAAAAUCGCUUAUUCUUUAUCGAAUGAUGUUAAAUUUUGAAAAACGAUUUGCUGAUGAUGUGGAGCUUCACAGUCAGUUUUUAGAAAUUGUUAAUUAUGUUUACAAAGAUAAAUCUCUAAGUGGCAGUGAGCUCACUGCGCGACUGGAACCAGCCUUUUUGGCUGGUCUUCGUAGUGUUAAUCCAUCAAUAAGGACUAAAUUUAUGGAUGUUUUUGAUAAAAGCAUUAAAAAGAAAAUUUAUGAUCGUCUUUUGUACAUUAUAUCAACUCAAAAUUGGGAACAUAUGGGCAAUCAGUAUUGGAUAAAACAAUGCUUAGAGCUUAUUUUUAAUACAAUACAGAUAGAUAAAAAUGUUGUUUGUAGCAGUAAUUACAGUAGGUUACCUUCAUGUUUAUCUGCACUUCGUAAUUCAACUCAACCAGAAGCUGUAAAAGUUUUAGAACAGUAUCAUCAACGAAAAAAAGAUUUAUCAGUUACAUUAAAGUCAUUAGAACAAAAUUAUGAAGAAAUAAAAAAUGAAGAGAUAGAUCUCUUUUGCCUUCGUUCAACUAAUUCUAUUUUAGAAAAACUUAAUGAUAUAAACAGCUGUGUUGUGAACUUAGACAAUAAAUUUGAUUAUACUUUAGUAUUGGAGCAGUUGUCCCAAGUUCAUGGGAAGUUUCUUGAUAGGUUGCAUGAUAUCAAAAUAGCUCCAUUUGUAAAUGCUAUUUCACAACUCUGUCAUAGAAGUACAUUACUUGCUCAUAAAAUUUGGGUUGAUAUUUUUCCUCAGUUAUGGGAUUUAUUAGAAACACGUUACCAGACCGUUCUUUGUGGUGAAUUUGGUCCAUUUUUAUGUAGUGGUAGUCAUUUAGCACAAACCGAAGGCUAUCGAAGCGCUAUUAAUACUCUUGUUGAAGGUAUGUCACGCUGUGUUGGUUUGAGUAUACGUCCUUGUGUAUUAAAGUACCUUGGAAAAACUCAUAACUUAUGGCAUCAAAGUGCUUUAAUGUUAGAAAACAUGGCUUUAGCUUGUGAUGAUAUAGUUUCUGUCAAUCCUCAGCUUCCAUUACAGCAACCAUGGUUAGAUUUUGGUUUAUAUGAUGAUGAUGUUUCUGAAAUACCUGUCCAAGAAACAUUUGAAUCAUUAGCUGAAAUGUAUGAACUGCUUUCUGAAGAUGAUAUGGUUGCAGGUUUGUGGCAACACAAAGCAAGAUUUCCAGAAACUUUGACAGCUCUUUCCUUUGAAUUACAAGGUCUUUUUGAGCAUGCUCAAACUUCUUAUGAAAGUGCAAUGUCAAAAGCACGUGAACAGUCCAAUAAUAGUCGUUUAGAUCCAAGAUUGCUUUCAGAAUAUCAACUUUGGGAGGAUCGCUGGGUUCGCUGUGCUAAAGAAUUAGGCCAAUGGGAUGUUUUGAUUGAAUUUGGUAAAUCUAAAGCUCAGUCUAAUGAUUUAAUAGUUUUAGAAAGUGCAUGGCGUAUACCAGAUUGGCAGGCAAUGAAAGAAGCUCUCACUCAGGUUGAAUUGAGUUUUCCUGAUGCAAUAGCUUACCAGCUAACACUUUAUCGAGGUUAUUUGAGUAUUUGUCACCCUGAUGAACAAAAUUUGAGUAAUCUUGAAAAACUUGUGGAUGCAGCAUCAACACAAGCCAUAAGGCAGUGGAGGCGACUUCCAAACAUUGUUUCAUCUAUUCAUAUUAAGAUUUUGAGAGCUGCGCAGCAAAUUAUAGAGCUUCAAGAAGCAUCUCAAUUGCAUGUAGGUUUGCAACAGCAGAACAUUGGAAGAAUGUCAAGUUUACAUGACAUGAAAGCUACUGUGAAAACAUGGAGAAAUAGAUUGCCAUUGCAGUGUGAUGAUCUGUUGCAUUGGAGUGAUAUAUUUAUGUGGCGGCAUCAUCAUUAUCAAGCUAUUGUUGCUGCAUAUGAAAAUCUUUCUACACAAAUGUCUAAUGAAGCCCAGUCUAAUAAUCAUGCAAUGCUAGGUGUUCAUGCUUCUGCUUGGUCUAUAAUAUACUAUGGAUAUAUUGCACGAAAACAUGGUCUUACAGGUGUUUGUUUAGACUCGCUUAGUCGCAUUCAUACAAUUCCAUCUGUUCCAAUUGUUGAUUGCUUUCAGAAAAUUCGUCAACAAGUCAAGUGUUAUCUUCAGAUGGCAGGUGUCAUGGGAAAAACAGAAUUACAUGAAGGACUUGAAGUCAUUGAAUCAACAAAUUUAAAAUACUUUACAAAGGAGAUGACAGCAGAAUUUCAUGCAUUGAAAGGGAUGUUCCUUGCACAGGUAGGUCGAUCAGAAGAAGCUAAUAAAGCAUUUUCAGAUGCAGUUCAAAUGCAUGACACUUUGGUAAAAGCAUGGGCACUCUGGGGUGAUUAUCUAGAUAGUUUAUUUGUUAGUGAUCGAAAUAUGACACUUGGUGUAUAUGCAUUAAUAUGUUAUCUCCAUGCAUGUCGCAGCAAUCAUGAGGCAAAAUGUAGAAAAUAUUUAGCAAGGUCAUUGUGGUUGUUAACUUAUGAUGAUGACAAAGCGAUUCUUGCAGAUACAUUAGAAAAAUACUACAUAGGUGUUCAUCCUGCUCAUUGGUUAGCAUGGAUUCCACAAUUGUUAACAUGCCUUGUACGAAAAGAAGGUCAAAGAGUUUUAAAUUUAAUUUUUUCUAUUGGUAGAGUGUUUCCACAAGCUGUUUACUUUCCAAUACGAACUUUGUACUUGACAUUAAAGAUAGAACAGCGAGAAAAAUACAAACUAGGAUUAGUUCAGGGUGGCAAGACAUCUCCUGGUUUUCCUUCUGGGCCAUCAGGAAUAAAUGUAGUAUCAACAUCAAAUGAAGAUGAAACAAUAACAAAAACUGUACCUAGUUCAGUAUCAGAAUCAGUUGUUGAUGAAAGUAGUUCAGUAACUACUAUUCCAGCAUCAAGUGAUGUUGUUACACCAGCAACAAUAGCAGCUCGGUUAGCAGCAUCUUCUAAUACUGUAAAUUGCACUAUUGCUCCUUCAAGUUUAUCGAACAUCUCAACACUUACAACUGAAGCUUCUGAUAAGCUUUCAACCAGCAAAACUGCUUCAACUCAUAUAAAUACAAUAGCAUCAACUACUGCAUCAGAAGCCAGCUCUGCAACAUCAACAAAUGGAAGUGGUGGAUUAAUUAGAGCUCCGCCUCAAAUGUGGAGAUGCAGUCGUAUCAUGCAUAUGCUUCGUGAUCUUCAUCCAACACUUCUUUCUGCGUUAGAGGGUAUUGUUGAUCAAAUGGUUUGGUUUCGUGAAUGCUGGCAUGAAGACGUUUUGCGCCAAUUACGCCAAGGAUUAGCAAAGUGUUAUCAAGUUGCGUUUGAGCAAAGAGGAAAUAUAAAUAAUGCACAAAUAACGCCACGCACUCUGAGUUUUGUCAACAAAUUAGUUAGUACAUUUGGUAUUGGUUUUGAAAGUGCUUCAAAUAUUUCUCAAACUUUUUCAUCUGCUGCCUCUGAAUCGCUAGCACGCAGAGCUCAAAUAACUGCACAAGAUCCCGUUUUUCAAAAAUUAAAAGGACAGUUUAGUGCUGACUUUGAUUUUAGCCAACCAAACUCAAAAAAACUACAUGUGUUAAUAAUGAAGUUAAAAAAGUGGAUAAAGAUUUUAGAAGCUAAAGCAAAAGUAAUGCCCAGCUCAUUUCUUCUAGAGGAAACAUGUCGUUUUAUCAGUAAUUUCUCACAAUCCACUGCAGAAGUAGAGUUACCAGGGGAGUUUUUAAUGCCUAAAUCUACUACACAUAAUGCAUUUUAUGUACGCAUUUCAAAGUUUAUGCCUCGUGUUGAGCUUGUUCAACGCAAUAAUUUUUCUGCUAGAAGGCUUACAAUCCGCGGACAUAAUGGUAAACUUUAUCCUUAUCUUGUUGUGAAUGAUGCUUGGCUUACAGAAUCAAGACGAGAAGAGCGAGUUUUACAACUAAUGCGAAUGCUUAACCACUUUUUUGAAAAGAGAAAAGAAACUUGUCGGAGGGGCUUACAAUUUACAGUUCCAAGAGUUGUUGCUGUUUCACCACAGAUGAGACUUAUAGAGGACAAUCCUUCAUUUAUUUCUUUGAAUGAGAUUUUCAAAGAAGGAUGUGAAAAAAGAAAUUUAGACUCAGAGCAUCCAAUAGUUGUUUAUUAUGAAAAACUAGCUCAAAUUCAAGAGAGAGGUUAUAUAUUCAAUCAUCAGUCGUUAAGAGAAAUUCUAAAAGAGGUACAAACAUGUUUUGUUCCUGAAACUAUGUUUAAAGAAUGGGCUUUAUAUACAUAUCCUACAGCAACUGAAUAUUGGACUUUUAGGAAAAAGUUAACUCAACAAAUUGCUUUAGCUGGUCUUAUUGAGUUUGUUUUGCAUUUAACUCGCUUAAACCCUGAAAUGAUUAAUAUUGCACGUGAUUGUGGAAAAGUUACCUUUAACUACUUUAGAUUUGAUAUUGAUGACGUUAAAGGUGAACUUGAUGCUAAUCGACCUGUACCAUUUCGUUUAACGCCAAAUCUUAGUGAGUUUAUUACUCCGGUUGGUGUAAAUGGAAUAAUGACUCAUUGUAUGAUAGCUGUGGCAAGGUGUCUGGUUCAACCUCAAUUUAGUAUUAGCAGUUAUUUUAAAGUUAUAUUGAAAGAUGAACUUAUUGCCUGGAAUAAAAAAAAAAACAAGAUGAACAAAAUCUUUUACCUAACCAAUCAGAAAUGAAUAAUGAACAACUUAUAACAUUAGUUACAAAUGCAAGCAAUGCAAUGUUAACAAGACUUCAAAAUUUGGCCAUAUUUGAAAAUGCUGAAUCUAAAGUUUUUACUCUUAUAUCAGCUGCAUUAAAUCCGGACAACACUUGUCGAAUGGAUCCUGCAUGGCAUCCUUGGCUCUGAUAGAAGCUUUUGUGUCGUUUCUUGGUUAUUUUUUUCAAUAAACUGCAUCAACCUAAUAUAAAAGUUAUUUGUAUUUAUUUUACUUUUUUAAAUAUUUAAUCGUUUUAUUGGUAGAGAGUUAAUUGGUAUCUAAUGAAAUAUAUAUAGCUAUCAAGAAAUGAGAUAUAUUAUUGGUAUAUAUUAUUAUAUAUUGUGUUAAAUGCAUUUAAUAAUUAUUUAAUAGGUAUUUUAUAUCUUUAACUGCACACUUUAUUUAAUAAUAAUCUGCAUUAGUAAGUCAUAACUAAGAGUUCUUAUAAAACAGACCUUGUUACAUUUGUUACAUUACCUACAUGCGUGAAAUAACUUUUUACUAUUAGUAAUAUGUGAAAUAUAUAUAUAUAUAUAUAUAUAUACAUAUAUAUAUAUAUAUAUAUAUAUAUAUAUAUAUAUAUAUAUAUAUAUAUAUAUAUAUAUCAAGGGCGGAUCCAUAGGGGGAGGGGAUCGCCCCCUACCUUUUUUCUUAGAAUGUUUUGAAAUUUUUUAUUUUUGUAAGUUUAUAUAUUAAACACAGCAAGUUAUUUGAAAACGGAAAUAAUAUAGUUAGGCUGUUUAAAUAAAAUUAGAAUUUUAAUAAAAUUUAAAAUUGUGUGGUUGCUUGCUUACAAAUCAUUAAAUCUAAAAAUGGCCUCCCCUCCCUCAUUGCCAAAUCCCAAAUCGAAAAAAAAAAUCAAAUUGCCUUCCUUACGGCAUGGGCUGGAUCCGCCCUGGAUAUAUAUAUAUAUAUAUAUAUAUAUAUAUAUAUAUAUAUAUAUAUAUAUAUAUAUAUAUAUAUAUAUAUAUAUAUAUAUAUAUAUAUAUAUAUAUAUAUAUAUAUAUAUAAAGAUAUUUAUUAUUAUUGUUUGCUUAGAUUUUUGUUGUUGUUGUUGUUUGUUUGUUUUUUAAUUUUAAUUCAGGGUUUACGAGAAUUCACAAGUUUCAGGGUUGGGCAAACAUGGAUCUUUUAAUAGAAUACAACUUUUUGCAUGAUUAACUAUGGUUCUCUUUUACGAUAUGUAUACAAAUAUGUGUUUAAUUUUUAUUGAUCAUUUGCCCACCCCUGCUAAAAUGUUUUAAGUACUUAUUGUUACAUGAUUUCUUUUUGCUUUUCUUUUAGUUAAUAUAAUGAAUCGAUCACAUGUUUUUUGGCAUUUUUCAUCAAAAUGUUUCAAAUUUACUUUAGCUCUUUGCCCAAAUUCUCGUAGCUUCGCAACUAGUAAUUUUCUAUGUAAAAAGGUUUAUAAAAAGUCGAUUGAUAAGGAAAGCAAAAUAACGAAAGAUAGGAGGCAUUAUUUAAAUGAAGAUCAUGAAGUAACUCUUCAAGUUGUUGAUUAUUUUAAAAAUAUUCAAAAUGACACUUUAUUUGAAGACAAGAGUAAAGUGAUUCAUAAACUUCAAACGAAUGUUUCCCAAAUUUUUGGAUUUAGUUUGGAUGUGUUAAAAAGACGUUUAGAAUUAAUUAAAGAUUCAGGACUUGCAAAAAGUGAUGAAAUGUUGUUGAUUUUAUCAAUACCAGCGUCCUUUGAUAUAUGCAAUCCGAAUUUUCUUGGCGUUGUAAAAUGUCUUCAAAAGUUUGAUCUACCUGUUAUAGAACUUUUCCGUGCAAAUCCAUUUAUUGGAAGCAUUGAUUUAACACGUUUAGAAGAAAACCUAACGCUAUUAGAAAAAGCGGGUAUGAAGUCAGCAUUAAAAAAUGUUAUAUUGAAGAAUUCUAUUUUAUUAAGUUAUCCUUUAACGCUUGAAGCAUUAAAUCAUUUAAAGCGGCUACAUACGUUGGGAUUAGAUCAAAGUAAAUUACUGGAAACUUCUUUUUACGAACCAAGGUUAUUCUCGGUUCAGGAUAAAUCUUUAAGUGCCAUUUUAAGAGAAGUUAAGGAAAUUAAUCUAUCUGAAGUCAAAGAUUUCUUAGCAUCGUAUAAAAUAGAAAUAGAGCGAAUUUAUCGGCUUUGUCCAGAAUUUCUUUUUAUUUCCAAGGAAAAACUAGAAGCUUGUCUUGAAAAAGCACAGUCUUCUCCAUUUUUCCUUGUUGCUGAAGAUAUUGAGAAACUUUUACGCAACAGACCGGAUGUCUUUCUUGUACUGUCUGAUGACAAAGUCACUGACGUUGUAAAUUACAUUGAAAAAAUAAGUACAGUUAAAAGUAGAGCAUUUAGACUUCUUAAUGAACGUCCUGAAAUAUUUCGAUUCCCAGAAAAAUUUAAUAGGAGAUGUGAUUUAUUUAAAUCAUUUGGAUUUAAAGAGGCCGAUAUUGCUCGUUUAUUUGCAGUCAAAGGAGGUCCAAAUUGUUUUGUGGAUUGUGAUGAUUUUUCUCACCAUUCUAUGACUGAGAUUCUUGAGUUCUAUAUGAGCAGUAAGGAUUUAACACCAGUUCAAUUGGUUGUAUCUGCGCCCAUAUGUUUUGCUAAAACCCAUUUCCCAAUCAUAAAACAACGUUUUACAUACAUGCGGCAAUUAGGUUUGAUGAAAUUAAUUGCACCAAGAAAAGUCACUUCCAAAAAAGGUAAAUUAUCGCUACAAAGUAUCAUCAAAUGUGAAUCAGAAGAAUUUGUCAAGAUUUGCAAGAGUACUUUAGAGGAAUACAAUAGUUUUUUGUCAAAGUUUUAAAUAUUUUUUUGUUUAAAAAUACUAUUUAGUUGUUUUUGUAAGUGCUACAUGCUUAAUAUCAUAUUGUAUUUUUAUUAAAGAAAUU